rnacentral:misc_RNA from 1 species
GAAAUGCGAUAAGUAAUGUGAAUUGCAGAAUUCAGUGAAUCAUCGAAUCUUUGAACGCACAUUGCGCCCGCGAGUAUUCUCGCGGGCAUGCCUGUUCGAGCGUCAUUUCAACCAUCAAGCCCCCCGGCUUGUGUUGGGGACCUGCGGCUGCCGCAGGCCCUGAAAUCCAGUGGCGGGCUCGCUGUCGCACCGAGCGUAGUAGCAUACUUCUCGCUCCGGGAGCGCGGCGGGCGCCUGCCGUAAAACCCCCUACAUACCAAAGGUUGACCUCGGAUCAGGUAGGAAUACCCGCUGAACUUAA